rnacentral:tRNA from 1 species
GAGGGUAUAGCUUAGUGGUAGAGCAUGUGCUUAGCAUGCAAAAGGUCCUGGGUUCAAUCCCCAGUCCCUCCA